CCAUGCAAAAUAAGACAGAAGGAAAUCUUCGUUGUGCUUGCACAAAAGAAGAUUUCCUUAUGGCUUAUUUUAUAGGGCGAAGCCCGACACCGUGAUGGAGCGCAGCGCAAUCACGGUGUGCAUGG
rnacentral:sRNA from 1 species